rnacentral:rRNA from 1 species
CCUACGGGUGGCAGCAGUGGGGAAUAUUGGACAAUGGGCGAAAGCCUGAUCCAGCCAUGCCGCGUGUGUGAAGAAGGCCUUCGGGUUGUAAAGCACUUUCAGUGGGGAAGAAAGCCUUGGGGCUAAUACCCUCGAGGAAGGACAUCACCCACAGAAGAAGCACCGGCUAACUCCGUGCCAGCAGCCGCGGUAAUACGGAGGGUGCGAGCGUUAAUCGGAAUUACUGGGUGUAAAGCGCGCGUAGGUGGUCUGAUAAGCCGGUUGUGAAAGCCCCGGGCUCAACCUGGGAACGGCAUCCGGAACUGUCAGGCUAGAGUGCAGGAGAGGAAGGUAGAAUUCCCGGUGUAGCGGUGAAAUGCGUAGAGAUCGGGAGGAAUACCAGUGGCGAAGGCGGCCUUCUGGACUGACACUGACGCUGAGGUGCGAAAGCGUGGGUAGCAAACAGGAUUAGAUACCCCGGUAGU